UUUGUGGGCACAUAAAGGAAAUUUUAUGCAUGCUUCAAUCUAUAUUUUAAGUUUGACCAUACCUAACACGCCUAUCAACAGUAGUCAUUUUAGUAUAAUGAGAAUAUGUGAAUUUUUUCCUUUUAUUUAUUUUCAAAAUAUGAUUUAAGGGUAUGCCUUUAAUAGAAAUAGAAAAUAAUAAAAAGAAAUAAGAAUAGUGACAGAGUAAAAGCAAGAGAGACAUGAAGAUGUUUUUCAUAUAUAGGUUUCUUACAUUUCAUUUUUUUUGUGACUGAAUGUAUUGCAGUUCUUAUUUUGAUCCUUGAGAGUGCAUAUUGUUAUUAGCAGACACUGUCAGCUGGUGAAAAGGGCACAGAUCCGGAGACUUAGGGAGCUUAGGUUUUAAACCUGGCUCUCUUGUAAAAGAAAAAAGAAACAAAAAAAUCAUUUGGUAAUAUGUGCAUCCCUCCAUCUUUCUUCUUGACUAUAGUUCUGUGUUUUUUGAGAUGAGUCUCACUCUGUUGCCAGGUUGGAGUGCAGUGAUGCGAUCUCGGCUCACUGCAACCUCUGCCUCCAAGGUUCAAGUGGUUCUCCUGCCUCUCACCUCGAGUAGCUGCGACUACAGGCGCGGGCCAACAUGCCCAGCUAAUUUUCAUAUUUUUAAUAGAGACGGGGUUUCACCAUGUUGGCCAGGAUGGUCUCGAUUCCUUUACUUCGUGAUCUGCCCACUUUGGCUUCCCAAAGUGUUGGGAUUACAGGUGUGAGCCACCGCGCCCGGCCAGUUCUGUGAUUUUAAUAAGCCUUUAAACCUCAGCCUCAGGUAGCUCUUUUGUUGAGCGGUCAUUUCCUCACCAUGUGAUUGUACAACAUUGAUAAACAUAUAAUCUGUUAUUUAUUUUAGCUAUUCAAAAAACAUUUUUAGGCUCCUCCCGCGAAUCGCAGCCCCUGGGACUAGGGUUGCUCCAUCUGUGCUCCACCUCGCAAUGACUUCCUACAGCUAUCUCCAGUCGUCCGCAACCUCGUCCUUCCGGGCCAUGCGCUGCAGCUCCGUACAUUUUGGGCCGCGCGUCGCGUUUUGCGCGCUCAGCAAGCACCGGGGGUUCCAGCGGCCGCGGCGUGUCUGUGUCCUCCGCCUGCUUCCUGUCCUCGUCCUCCUCGAGGGGCUACGGCGGCGUCCUGGCCGCGUUCAACGGGCUGCUGGCGGGCAAGGAGCUCACCAGGCAUAACCUCAAGGACCGCCUGGCCUCCUACCUGGACAAGGUGCGCGCCCUGGCGGCAGCCAACGGCGAACUGGAGAUGAAGAUCUGCAACUUGUACCAGAAGCAGGGGCCCGGGCCCUUCCGCGACUAUAGCCACUACUGCAAGACCAUUCAGGACUUGCGGGACAAGGUUCUUGGUGCCACCAUUGAGAACUCCAGGAUUGUCCGGCAGAUCGACAGCGCCCGUCUAGCUGCAGAUGACUUGCGAACCAAGUUGGAGACGGAGCAGGCUCUGUGCAUGAGCGUGGAGGUCAUCAACGGCCUGUGCAGGGUGCUGGACGAACUGACCCUGGCCAUGACCGACCUGGAGAUGGAGAUCGAAGGCCUGAAGGAAUAGCUGGCCUACCUAUAGAAGAACUAUGAAGAGGAAAUCAGUGCGCUGAGGGGCUAAGGGGGAGGCCAGGUCAGUAUGGAGGUGGAUUCGGCUCCGGACACCGAUCUCACCAAAAUCCUAAGUGACAUGCGAAGCCAAUAGGAGGUCAUGGCCGAGAAGAACUAUAAGGAUGCUGAAGACUGGUUCACCAGCUGGACUGAAUAAUUGAACUGGUAGGUCGUGGGCCACAUGGAGCAGCUCCAGAUGAGCAGUCUGAAGUCGCAGACCUGUGGCACACUCUCCAGGGUCUUGAGAUGGAGCUGCAGUCACAGCUGAGCAUGAAAGCUGCCUUGGAAGGCACACUGGCAGAAACCAAGGCUCCCUUUGGAGCCCAGCUGGUGCAGAUCCAGGCGCUGAUCAGCGGUAACGAAGCCCAGCUGGGCGAUGUUCGAGCUGAUAGAGAGCGGCAGAAUCAGGAGUACCAGUGGCUCAUGGACAUCAAAUCGCGGCUGGAGCAGGAGAUCACCACCUAACGCAGCUUGCUCAAGGGCCGGGAAGAUCACACUACAACAGCCUGUCUGCCUCCAAGGUCCUCUGAAGCUGCAGGCUCUGGGGCUUCUGCUGUCCUUCGGAGGGUGUCUCCUGGGUAGGGGGAUGGGAAGGAAGGGACCCUUACCCCUAGCUCUUCCCUGACCUGCCAAUAAAAUGUUAUGGUCCAAGG